UGAUCCUCCUCCCUCAGCCUCCUCAGCCUCCCAAACUGUUAGAAUUAUAAGCAUGAGCCACUGUGCCCAGCCUGAGAGUGUUCUUUAGACAGGCAGAAUUGGUCUCAAAUUCCACUUUGUCACUUACUUGCUGUGUAGUGUGGAAUACGUUCUUUCCUUUUUCUAAUCCUCAGUUGUACGUUUACUAUGCAGAUCGUAUUAGUAUCUACACCAAAGAUUUGCUAUAAGGUGUGAGAUGAUGGCAGUGUUAUCAGUGAGAUGCAGUAUUAAGCAGAGUAUCUGAUACAAAAAUGUUUUACAUGAUUCAUAUUGCUCUCACUUCUUAUUAGUCCAUUAAAAGGUUUGAAUAUAAAUAUUUAGCCCUGGUUGGCAUGUUAUACCAGUAAGAUCUUUAAAAAAAGUUGAAUAAUACAAGUUCUAGUUUUAAAUGAAGCAUAUUUAUAAAGAAAUUGCUAUAAUAUUCAUGUUGAAAAAUAAGUAAACAUUGAGUGAACAUUUUUAUAAACCAAACUAAUAAUUUUGUUAGAAAAAAACUAUGGUUAAGUAAAUCAGUCAAAAGUAAUAAGGUUUUUUUUAUGACCAGAAGAUACUAUGUAGCCUGCUCCAUUUUUGAAUCAAUAUUAAGAUAUUUUUAGCCUUUGAAUUUAGAUACUUCCAACAUUUAUUUCAUAGAACUGUCUACCGAAUCUGCCACUAGAAGUAAUGAAAAUAACGUUACAAAGUUAGCUUUGUGAGAGCAGGAGUCACUUCCACCUUGUUUCUUUACACAUCUCAGGGCUUAGCAUAGGAUCUUGCACACAGUAGGCACUCAAUAAAUUUUUAAGAAAUGAAGACAUGAACUGGCUUUGAAGCUUACAUCUAAGGACUGACUUGCCCAUGUGUUAUCUGUGACCUUCGACAUGUCCCUUAAAAUUGUCUGGCCUUGUCUCCAUCAACAAAGAAAGGCAUUAGACUAAGACUCUAAAAUUCAAAUCAAUAGAAGCAUCUGUGUAAAACAAGAUGAAAGACUGCAGCUAGAUCCAAAGAAGAGUAUGGCCACCUCAGAAAAUACUGAAUUUGAAUGGUUCAUGAAGUAUGUUCUUGUAGAAUCAGGGGCAAAAGAAAUUACUAACUUUCUUCCAACUAACCUGAAAACAAUUCCUAGAGGAGCUGUUUCACAUAAAAUCAUUCAUUGUGUAUAAAAAUAUCUAUUAGCAGAUCCUUUCUGUUUCUUAACCCAGUUCCUCAUACUGUAGUUAUUCUUGCUUACUCAGUAUGGGAAACUUUUUUCCUCUCCUUUGGUAACUGAAGGUCACUGACCCACCCUAAUCAAAACCAAGAACCAUACAAAAAGUUGAUUUAGGGUACUGUUUGUUAUUUUUUAUUUAGAGAGAGAAAAGUCUACCACUCAUCCAUGAUUUAGAAACAGAGAACAUGAAACAGUAUUCACCAGAUAUACUUCAGUUUUAUAUUAGAGCCAAUUAAAAGAACAAGUCAGAGCAGGAGAUAAAAAGAAAGGGAACAGAGAGGGAGGGGAAAAGAGAAAGAGACAUAACUAACUUUAGGAUUUGCCAAGCCCUGAGAGGCAAUGACUCUUACUCAUAAUGAUCCUUGGAAAAACAAAGAGGAACCCUUUAGAUAAAAAAACAAAUAAAUAAACUUUACUGAAAUUAGUUACAAAUUAUGUUUUAAUUACUGUUUAAAAUCAGAGAGCAGAGCAAAUCUCGCUCUUACUUACAAACUAGACAAAAAAAAAAAAAAGCCUUCAUGUUUUUCCACAGAAAAGAGAGCAUAUGACAUCUAUCCAACUUUUAUAGGAAAAAAAAGAUUUUUUUUAAAGAACAUCUUUGCUAACAUUCAGACACUGAUCCCAAACAAUUUAAAAGCCAAGUUGCAUAUUUGGAACUAUGUAAACAAUAAUGUCUUUUGUAGGUACUUGCCAUAGACCCAAAUAAAAUGCAGAAAAAUAACCUUUAUCUAAUUGGUAAACCAAAGCAUUCUCAAUGUAACUUAUUAAAAUAACCUAUUAGUGCUUGUAUUUCUCCUUCUCAGUAAUGGCCAAAAUUCUCAUUUUUUUCUUAGACCACAUCUGAAUAUAUUUAAACAAUAUUGUGAACUUUUAUCUCAUUUCUAGUUUCUUCAUAUUUUUCUUGAAUUAGAGCAUGUAUAGUUUUUCUUUAAGCUAUAACUUUUCUCCUGAAAAUUGUGCAUGAUUAAUCUUUGUUUGUGUGUUUAUUUGUUUGUUUUUUUGAGAUAGAGUCUAGCUCUGUCACGCAGGCUGAAGUGCAAUGGUGCCAUCUCGACUCAUUGCAAUCUCUGCCUCUUAGGUUCAAGUGAUUCUUCUGCCUCAGCCUUCCACAUGAUUAAUCUUUAAACCAUAUUUAAACAAAGAUAAGUAUUAAUGAAAUCCUAAAUUGAAACUUAUAGGGUUUGCUCUGCUAAUUACUCUGAUGUUGUACCUGUUUUGACAAAUUGCAAGUUUCACUUUUCAUUUAUUUAAAACCUGACAACUGCACUGUCAGAGGUCUGACAAGGACUGAGUUCUAAAGGAGUUAUCUAGGGUCCACUGAAUAGCAUACCUGUCACUGCCUCCUCAGCAUCGCCACUGUUCUCUUAACUCAUGGUAUGUUCAUUUAUUCAUUGUAUAUUUGUUAUAUACUCUGGUCCUGAGAUAUAUCCUAUUCUGUGGUCUGUGUCUCAGGUUUCCUUCAGCUUAACAUUAGAUACUAUUUAUUUAACUAUAGGUUUUCUUAAAUAUUUUAUUGGAUCUUAUGGAGUCUAUCUCCAAGUUAAUGAAUUUUAAUCAAUCAGUGUACAUAAAAAUCCAUCCGCCUCAAACUGAAUGUUGUGAGAGGUGAAAUAUUCUUAUUCCAUAAUGUGAGAUGGUGCAAAAAUGUUUAAAAUACAUCCAUUUAGUUAUAUAAUAAAAUAAUUGCACUUCUACAUAGAGUAUAAAGUUUGAAUGAGGACAGAGCAGUGCAAGAAGUAAUGGACUUGCUUUAACAUUAACCUGUUCUGCUAUAAGGUCAUAGCUAUUACUGGCUUAUGGAGAAGAGUCCCAGGUAUGGAAAUAUAAAGUAAAUACAGUAAUUGAUUUAGAUAUUUUGGACUUAUUUUAAACAAUAUAUUUAAAAUAUAAAGCUACAAAUUCACAUUAAAUGUUGCAUAUUUUUAUCCCUAAUGAAAUAUUUGAUAAAUAUGCAAACUUUGAGUAGUGAUUUUCAUCUUUUCUGUUUUAGCUAAUUAAAAUAUGUGCUACUUAAGGAUAAAUAAAUUUUCAUGGGAAUAGAAUGACAAAUUAUGAAAAUUAUAUCAUAACUUGAAUAGAUUAAAACUUUGUUAUUUGAAAUAAAGAACAGAAAUAGAUAACAUUCUUUCUCUUAAAAUUCAUCAUAUAUUUUGCAAUCGGGUUUUCCAUUCUUAUAGACAGCUUAUUUUUCCAGAUCAUACACACAGAUAUGACCAUAUAUGGGAAGAAAGUCAAAGUACACUCUGAUAACUGUAGCAUAUUUUUAGCAUUUAGGGAAAAGAAAAGCCAGAAUGAGUGGAUAUUAUGCUGCUAACAUUUGCUGAUAAAACAUUAAGAUGUCAAAAACCAAGAAGGUCUUACAUGAAAGAGAUGGGGAUAAUUAAAAAAAAGAAUAAAGUAAACAAUUUCCUUAAUUAUUAAAAAGCUAUAUAACACAAAAGAAUAUGAACUUCAGAAUCAAACAGUCAUUCAGCAAGUUACUUUCUUUGAAUUUAAUUUACUUAUUCUGUAGAAUGGGAAAAAAGCCAACAUGAACUUUUACCUUGUAAUCUGUCACAAGGCCUGUUCUUAUCCCUCAGAAACUUUAAGCUCAGGGCUUGGACUCAGGGUGUCUUCCCUCUUUGGCAUACUUCUCUCCUCUAUAUUACCUUGUUUCAGUUGUAUGUUAAGUAGUCUUCUCACCCUUACUGCAUUCUUUUUGUAUCCCUUACUCCUGUUUUAAUUUCUAAAAAGCAUACACCACUAUCUGGGAUUACAUUGUUUAAUUUAUGUGCCUAUUUACCCUCCACUAUAAUUUGAGUCACAAGAGAUCAGGGUUUUUCUUUAUAUUAUUCACAACUGUUUCCCCAGUUCUAAUAACAGUGCCCAAAAUAUUACUAUGCAAUAAUAGCAAGUGACUAGAUGGAUAAUAAAGUAGUCAGAAGCCUUAUUGCUUCCUUGAGAACUUCAAAAUUCAAACUCAAAAGAUCACUUAUAAGAGUGUGACCUUGAGAAAAUUACCUCCAUUUUAUUAAAAGACAAUAAUACUUCAAGGAGUUGUUAAAUAUGAUAAUGACUUAAACGUGCUUAUCUCUGUGCUGGGGAUAUUCUAAGGGUUUCAAAAAUGGUGGCUGCUAUUAUUAUAAAUUUUGUCUCUUAAAAUAUUUUGUUUAGUUGGUUGGUUUUGGAGCCAAAGAAUCUCAGGGAUUCAGAAAGAUUUUUCUUCUUUUGAUUUCCUGCUCACUGGAAGACCAGGAAAAGCACACUCACCAAAGCAGUUCACAAAUGGUAGAAAACCAGUUGACCAUACAAAAUGAACAUGGCUGUUCUUUAUGCAGCCUGAUACUCCAAUAUUGCAUUAAAUAAGCAGUCCUGAAAGGCAAGGGCAGGAGAAGAGAGAACAUAAUGGAGGAGGAACAAUCAUUUCUCCUCCAGGACUUUAAUUGAGCAUGUUGGUAUAAAUAUACUCUUUCUAAUUUGCCAUAAUCUAAUUUGGAUGACCAGUAGCCUCCAAAAGAGAGCUAUUGAUAGAGGUUAUAUCUACUUCUCAUAUGUAAACAUGUGAUUCCCCCAACUUAAGAGUUUCCAUGGAGUAGACAAAAGAGAGUCAUACUUCUGAUUCUUUUAAUAUAUGUAUUGUUUUCUGCCUAUUGUUUGUGGCAGUGUUCAGAUUGACAGGGCUUUUCUUGUGGAUAUAUUGUUAGUGUUCUUUGCGGAAAAGAUCUGAGGAUUUGGGAAUUAAAUUAGAUAAACUAGAAUAAGAAAACAAUACUUUGUGCUAUUCUUAUAUUGCUUGUACUUUCUCCUUUCAUGCUUCAUUUUGCUCGUAGUUACUAAUGGGAAAAGUAGUUUGGAAAUCUUUAGCUCAUGUCAAAAGCAAAUGGAAGACAGAGGCAAGGUUAUUGUCCAUACUAGUGGCAGAACUUUGAAGAUGGAAUACUGCAACAUUUGGUAUCUGCAUGAAAGUGAACCUGAUAAUUUGUCAACAUCUACAGAAAAAACGAAAUUUCUUGGGAAGAUAAUUUAGGUUGCUUUAUCUACUGCCCUUUAUCAUAUGGAAAUUCUGUCUAAUGCUAAACUGUUUGGUAAGAAAAAAUGACUAUUUUUUUGUUUAAUUGAGUUACUUAAAACAUAUUUGUUUUAAUAUGAGGAAGUUUUACAUUACUGAGGUAAACCUGAAUGCUACUUUAUUAUUUGUAGCUAAAACCCAUUAGAGCAUUUGACUAAAAUCAGCCAUAUGAUAAUUAUGUUUAAAACAAACAGCUAACUUAACGUGGAGUGUUUAUCAUGGGUUAGAUGUUACGGUAAGAUUUUAAGUGAUUUAUCUCCUCUAACUCUCAAGCCAAUCCUAUGAGGUACAAUUGUUAUCCCUAAAUUAUAGAUGAGGAAAUUAAAGAUUCAAGAUGUUAAAUAAUUUAUCCAAAGACAUACUGUCAAUAAAUGCAGAGUUCAGAUUCACUUUCUGAACUACACAUAGUGACUUGAUGCUACUUUCUUCUAAAACUGUUCCAAAAUUGAACUGAAAGAGAUUAUUUCAUUACAUAUGAAGUAUAUUUAUUUUGUUGACACAAUAGCAUCAACUGCCUCUGUAAGUCUGCUUGCCAAAAUUGCAUAUUGAAAUAGCAUUUUAAAAUAAUUAUAUGUAAAAAAUAUGAAAUAGAAGCAAUCUGGACCCACAAACCACAUUUUCUGUUCUGCGGUUAUGCAGGCAUAGAAAGGGAAAUUAUAAAAUUCAAAGAAAGCAAAGAAUUUUUGUAAACAUUUUCUAAGGCUGCAAGAUGAUUGCUUUUACUAUUUUGGAUAAAAUAAGAAUAUUUAAAAUUUUAAAGUAGGUAAAAUUGGUUGCAGGUUAAUAUUUGAAAAAGCAUACAAUUAUUUUAGAGCUUCAUUUGAACAAAUCAUGUUUACCAAUUACAAGGUUUUGGUUUUCAUUUACGAGUUGCUUUUAUUUGUACCAAUCUACUUACAUGUGUUAAUGAAUAUGCUUAGAAGAAAACAAUAUGCAUCAUCA